UACGUAGGGUGCGAGCGUUAAUCGGAAUACUGGGCGUAAAGCGUGCGCAGGCGGUGAUGUAAGACAGGUGUGAAAUCCCCGGGCUUAACCUGGGAACUGCAUUUGUGACUGCAUCGCUGGAGUGGCGGCAGAGGGGGAUGGAAUUCCGCGUGUAGCAGUGAAAUGCGUAGAUAUGCGGAGGAACACCGAUGGCGAAGGCAAUCCCCUGGGCCUGCACUGACGCUCAUGCACGAAAGCGUGGGGAGCAAACAGG
rnacentral:rRNA from 1 species